GAUGAACGCUGGCGGCGUGCCUAAUACAUGCAAGUCGAGCGAACAGAUGAGGAGCUUGCUCCUCUGACGUUAGCGGCGGACGGGUGAGUAACACGUGGAUAACCUACCUAUAAGACUGGGAUAACUUCGGGAAACCGGAGCUAAUACCGGAUAAUAUAUUGAACCGCAUGGUUCAAUAGUGAAAGACGGUUUUGCUGUCACUUAUAGAUGGAUCCGCGCCGCAUUAGCUAGUUGGUAAGGUAACGGCUUACCAAGGCAACGAUGCGUAGCCGACCUGAGAGGGUGAUCGGCCACACUGGAACUGAGACACGGUCCAGACUCCUACGGGAGGCAGCAGUAGGGAAUCUUCCGCAAUGGGCGAAAGCCUGACGGAGCAACGCCGCGUGAGUGAUGAAGGUCUUCGGAUCGUAAAACUCUGAUAUUAGGGAAGAACAAAUGUGUAAGUAACUAUGCACGUCUUGACGGUACCUAAUCAGAAAGCCACGGCUAACUACGUG
rnacentral:rRNA from 1 species